CCUACGGGGCGCAGCAGUGGGGAAUAUUGGGCAAUGAGCGCAAGCCUGACCCAGCAACGCCGCGUGAAGGAAGAAGGCUUUCGGGUUGUAAACUUCUUUUCUCAGGGACGAAGAAAGUGACGGUACCUGAGGGAUAAGCCACGGCUAACUACGUGCCAGCAGCCGCGGUAAUACGUAGGUGGCAAGCGUUAUCCGGAUUUAUUGGGUGUAAAGGGCGUGUAGGCGGGAGCGCAAGUCAGAUGUGAAAACUCAGGGCUCAACCCUGAGCCUGCAUUUGAAACUGUGUUUCUUGAGUGCUGGAGAGGCAAUCGGAAUUCCGGGUGUAGCGGUGAAAUGCGUAGAUAUACGGAGGAACACCAGUGGCGAAGGCGGAUUGCUGGACAGUAACUGACGCUGAGGCGCGAAAGCGUGGGGAGCAAACAGGAUUAGAUACCCUUGUAGUC
rnacentral:rRNA from 1 species